CUUUGCUAGGUCAGGUGCUCACGGCUGAUUAGUCAAUAUUUGAUCUGGUCACCUCCUUACUGUUGAACAAUCUUGGUGUAACUGUCUUCCUGCUUUCUCUGAUGAGGUCGUCUAGAAUGGCACGGUCGGACGAGCCCAAAGAACACGGUGAGUACCGGACUACCGGUACCAGGGCUUUGGGUGCCUGUCUCUGUACAAUGCUAAUGCUGUCAUUUGUCACAUGAUACCGGUGUCGUGCAUUGUCAUCGAUUAAAGAGAUGCUGUUUGUGAGACUGAGGCGCCGACGAAUGUGUUACGUUUUAGUUUUUGGCCGUGGUCUGGUCUCUUUUGCCCUUCAACCGAGGAGAUAUUUGGUGGUACAGGAAUACAUGUACAGAGAUGAGAUUAUUUCGCGGGCCCAACGAGUUUGGCG
rnacentral:lncRNA from 1 species